UUAUGCCCAUAUCAGGUAGAAACACUGGUUCCCUUAUUAUCACCAAAGUUAAGCAACACCAAGCCUGGUCAGUAUCAAGAUGGGUGACCACUUGGGAAUACAAGUUGCUGAAA